rnacentral:lncRNA from 1 species
AUGUAUGCAAGGCUUGUCAGCUACAGGACAGAGUCGGGAGGAUUGCGUAGACAAGAAUUCAGAAAUCAGCAGCCAAACUUGAGAGUGAAAAAGAAGGCCAAGGUCGGAUCUUUUCUGGUCAGUUACGUGAAUGCUAGAGACAGAUGCCCAGCCACACCGCAUCC